UUAAAAAAAGGAAAUGGUGAAUUACAUUAAAAGCAAAUUAUAUUAGCAAUUUUGUGUGUAAGUUAAAAGCCACCUGCACAAGUACAGGUGGCUAGAAGCCAGAGUCCUUCAAGUGAAAGAGCCUGAGGCUUUAGCUGACCUCAUGUGUGCUAGGUCCCAUCUAUGGCUGGGGCGGAGAAAGCCAGUGGGUCCCUAGCCACCAUCCAAAGCUAGGCAGCGAGUGAGGGAGGCCCUCCCUGUGCCCACAGCUGGUCUGGCCACAGCCCCUGCGCUGCAGGGCUCACUCCCAGCUCCUGUGUUCUGGGAGAGCAGUGAUCCAGGUGAGGCAGAGCCACCCGCAGAGCCAUGAGGAGCAGGAAGUGCCAGGAUCAGUAUCUCUGCAUUCACUCACCCACACAUUGCUGCCUUCUUGGACUGACCUCCAAGACCACUACCUUUGUGUCUCCCUCGGCUGAAGGAGGGAGAGAGGCCAGAUUAUGUAUUAAAUGCAGUACCCUGAAGAGAUGCAAAGAAAGUGGAGAUGCGGUGGGAGAGAAAGGAGACACCAAAAGUCAUGAGGAGAGAAAUCAUGACCAAGUAGCUGUGGCUGCCCUCAGGGAAGGGGACUGGAAAAAUUCAUCCCCUCAUGUGGGGGAAAAGACCGCUUAGUAUCUUGGAACAAUGUUGCCUUUUGCUGAGCCUUGGGCAUUGAGGGAAAACUGACUUUCUGCUUUUUAUGCCAGAUAAGGAAAAAAUAAAAAUAAAAAUGUGAAA